UACAGAGGGGGCAAGCGUUAUUCGGAAUUAUUGGGCGUAAAGGGCGCGUAGGCGGCUUUGCAAGUGACGGGUGAAAUCCCUCGGCUUAACCGAGGAACUGCCUGUCAGACUGCAUGGCUUGAGACCGGGAGAGGUGAGUGGAAUUCCCAGUGUAGCGGUGAAAUGCGCAGAUAUCGGGAAGAACACCCGUGGCGAAGGCGGUUCUCUGGGACGGUACUGACGCUGAGACGCGAAAGCGUGGGGAGCGAACAGG
rnacentral:rRNA from 1 species